CGAACGCUGGCGGCGUGCCUAAUACAUGCAAGUCGAGCGGACCGACGGGAGCUUGCUCCCUUAGGUCAGCGGCGGACGGGUGAGUAACACGUGGGUAACCUGCCUGUAAGACUGGGAUAACUCCGGGAAACCGGGGCUAAUACCGGAUGCUUGAUUGAACCGCAUGGUUCAAUCAUAAAAGGUGGCUUUCAGCUACCACUUACAGAUGGACCCGCGGCGCAUUAGCUAGUUGGUGAGGUAACGGCUCACCAAGGCGACGAUGCGUAGCCGACCUGAGAGGGUGAUCGGCCACACUGGGACUGAGACACGGCCCAGACUCCUACGGGAGGCAGCAGUAGGGAAUCUUCCGCAAUGGACGAAAGUCUGACGGAGCAACGCCGCGUGAGUGAUGAAGGUUUUCGGAUCGUAAAACUCUGUUGUUAGGGAAGAACAAGUACCGUUCGAAUAGGGCGGUACCUUGACGGUACCUAACCAGAAAGCCACGGCUAACUACGUGCCAGCAGCCGCGGUAAUACGUAGGUGGCAAGCGUUGUCCGGAAUUAUUGGGCGUAAAGCGCGCGCAGGCGGUUUCUUAAGUCUGAUGUGAAAGCCCCCGGCUCAACCGGGGAGGGUCAUUGGAAACUGGGGAACUUGAGUGCAGAAGAGGAGAGUGGAAUUCCACGUGUAGCGGUGAAAUGCGUAGAGAUGUGGAGGAACACCAGUGGCGAAGGCGACUCUCUGGUCUGUAACUGACGCUGAGGCGCGAAAGCGUGGGGAGCGAACAGGAUUAGAUACCCUGGUAGUCCACGCCGUAAACGAUGAGUGCUAAGUGUUAGAGGGUUUCCGCCCUUUAGUGCUGCAGCAAACGCAUAAGCACUCCGCC
rnacentral:rRNA from 2 species